rnacentral:rRNA from 1 species
GACGAACGCUGGCGGCGUGCUUAACACAUGCAAGUCGAACGAAGUGGCGAACGGGUGAGUAACGCGUAAUCAACCUGCCCUUCAGAGGGGGACAAAAGUUGGAAACGACUGCUAAUACCGCAUACUGAAGGAGGGAAUUGCGUCUGAUUACCUAGUUGGAGGGGUAACGGCCGACCAAGGCGAUGAUCAGUAGCCGGUCUGAGAGGAUGAACGGCCACAUUUGGCAUGGGACACGGCCCAGACUCCUACGGGAGGCCGCAGUGGGGAAUCUUCCGCAAUGGACGAAAGUCUGACGGAGCACCGCCGCGUGGGUGAUGACGGCCUUCGGGUUGUAAAGCUCUGUUAAUCGGGACGCGGUACCGGAAUAGAAAGCCACGGCUAACUACGUGCCAGCCGCCGCGGUAAUUC